rnacentral:rRNA from 1 species
UACGUAGGGUGCGAGCGUUAAUCGGAAUUACUGGGCGUAAAGCGUGCGCAGGCGGUUCGCUAAGUCAGGGGUGAAAUCCCCGGGCUCAACCUGGGAAUUGCGCUUGAAACUAGCGAGCUUGAGUGUGGCAGAGGGGGGUGGAAUUCCACGUGUAGCGGUGAAAUGCGUAGAUAUGUGGAGGAACACCGAUGGCGAAGGCGGCCCCUUGGGUCAACACUGACGCUCAUGCACGAAAGCGUGGGGAGCAAACAGG